CUUCACCGAGCCCAGCAGCAGCGGUCUGGGCCGGUCCUGUCCGUAGGCGGCCAGCAGGGCGGACGCCUC
rnacentral:antisense_RNA from 1 species